GGCGGCACCGCCCGCCUCCAUUUCCGAGGCGGCGGCGGGCGAGACUUGAACCCUUGUAUUUCUGGGACAAGAAAAACUUGACACUGGGAGAAACACUAUGAGAUUUCUCUGUGUUUCACUUUCUUUAACCGUGAUUUGCUGGCUAGCUGAAGGCACCUUGUCGAAAACAGACGCGAAGAAACCUGCUACAAAAAAACUGGAAGAAAAGACACUGCAUUCUGAUAAGAAUGUGCAGGACCGGGGACUCGUAGUUACAGAUCCAAAGGCAAAGGACAUCAUAUUGGAACACAGAAGCUACUGCUCUAAGAAGACGAAAGAAAGACACUUCUCAGGAGAUGUUCUGGGAUAUAUUACUCCUUGGAACAGCCACGGCUAUGACAUUGCCAAAAUAUUUGGAAAUAAAUUUACAUUAAUCUCACCAGUCUGGUUACAAGUGAGAAGGAGAGGGAAGGAGAGGUUCCAGUUCACCGGGCUCCACGAUGUAGAUAAAGGCUGGAUGAAAGAUGUCAGAAAAAAUUCCAAAAACAUCAAAAUAGUGCCUAGAAUUUUGUUUGAUGGCUGGACUUACCAGGACUUUGAGAGUGUUUUUGGCAGUGAAGAUGAGAUAGAAGAGCUUUCACAGAGUAUGGUUCUACUAGCCAAGAAUGAAAAUUUUGAUGGCUUUGUAGUUGAAGUUUGGAGUCAGCUAGGAAAUCAAAAGCAAAAGGAGUUGAUACACUUGCUCAUUCACCUUUCUGAAGCUCUGCAUGAAGCACAACUAAAACUCAUACUAGUCAUUCCUCCAGCAGUUGCAGCAGGGACUAACCAGCCAGGAAUGUUCACAAAGAAAGAAUUUGAUCAGUUGGCCUCAGCAGUAGACAGCUUCAGUCUCAUGACAUAUGACUAUUCAACACCACAAAGACCUGGUCCAAAUUCCCCACUGCCCUGGGUACGAGCCUGUAUUCAAGUAUUGGAUCCUGAUUCAAAAUGGAGAAAUAAAAUACUUCUAGGGCUGAAUUUCUAUGGCAUGGACUAUUCUGCUUUGGGAGCCUUGGGGGAGCCAAUCCUCGGUACUAGGUACAUUGAAACCUUGAAGGAGCACAAACCAAAGAUUGUCUGGGAUGAACAAAUUGCUGAACACUACUUUGAAUACAAAAAAAAUAAAGGAGGAAAACAUGCCAUCUUCUAUCCAACACUGAAGUCCAUCCAGUUGCGCUUAGAGCUUGCAAAAGAAUUGGGCACUGGUAUAUCCAUCUGGGAACUGGGACAAGGCCUGGAUUAUUUUUAUGACCUGCUUUAAAGUAAGAGAUGAUGUGGGAAAGACUUUUGCUUCACUGAGACUCCACCUUCAAUUAAUUUGAGUAUCCCGGAGAGAUAUGAUUGUUGGUUUCUGAUAAAGUUCAGAGGAAAAAACUUGAAAGCUUCUGAAUUAACAGCUUAGAAAGAGACCGACCUGUACAGCUGGGAUGACACUAGAAGUGAAAAUAUUUUUUUUCUGCGAGAAAUGAAAUGGACAAACUGAUACCACCUGAUCAGGGUUUAAGGUAGAUAUCUCUCAAACAAUUGCUGCUAAUCAUUUAAGUGAACAAAUAAAUUAAUCAGAUUAUGUCUGGCAAAUUUAACAUCUGCUGGACUCUGCAACCUGCUGUCUCUUAAUAAGGUAAGUCAACAUAAAAUGAAGAGGGUGGGUGUGAGGGGAGCAAUUAGAUACCUAGAUACCUAGGGCUGGUAAAGGAUUGAAUACUGACUGUUAGCUGUUUGUUUUCUUCAUUUUAUUACAUUGCUUAUGUAGUUCAAAAUCACAGUAGUUCUGAUUCAUGACAUGACUUGUUUCUAAAUCAUUUUUGUAAGCAGGAGAUGAUGCUCUGUGAUUUCUCUCUUCCACUUAGGCUGCUUAGUGUCUUAUUUUACAGUACUUAGCACCAGUGCAUGAUGCAUUAGUGAUUAGUUUGUGGGAACUGUAGUGUUUAGCACAAAAGGCUACAAUGGAAAUGAGAAGUAUUUGUGUAAUGAUGGAUUGUGCUGAUAACCCCUGGAGGACAUCAUAGCAGCACUGACAACGCCUUUAUUUAAGUAGGUGCUAUGAAUAUAGUGACAACCUUUCUGAAUAAAGCUUUUAUUAUUUAACUGCACCCAUUGGUGCUUUUGUCUCCAUGAAACAGAUUUUUUUUUUAUUAAAUAGCUCAGAAGCUAUUAAUUAGCUUUAAAACAGCCCUGUCCCCCCAAAUAUUGUCCCUGCUUUUUAGUUUAUAAGUUUUCUGUUUGUAGAAGUACACAGGCUUCAAGGUAGUUUGUUGUAAGGAAGUAAGGGGAGGUGGUGGGAAUUUGAUGAGGGUGUUGCUGGUCCCCAGCAGAGAUCCAGGCAAUAGCUCUGUACUCCCACUGGCGUUCUUCUUGCCACUUACAGUUGUCACAAAAAUAACUGCACUCCUUCUCUUUGCAUCCACUCUUCCCAGUAAUUAAUCUCAGUGGGGGAUUUAUCUGCCCCUGCUUGUUUCAGCGGAAUAAAUCCCAUUGUAAUCCACCAUUGAUUAAAGAACUAUUGAUCUUCACCUCACUGAUUUAGUUCUGGCAUCUCUUGACUUCUCACAUUGCAGUAUCCAGCAGGGUUUACUAAUCAGGCUUCUUUCUUCCAUACCAUUAGUACUGAGAUAAUUUGCUACGUGAAUCCUCAUGUUCAAUUAACUUGAGCUUUCUGGUUCGUUCAAAAGCAAUUUAAAAGUCACUUUUGGCAAUGGUAUCUGCGCAAGAAUUUAGUUCCAUUAUGCUGUUUUUCUACUUUCAGUGGCAUUAGUGAACCAGAAUGUCUCAGAAAAAAGAUGAUCAGUUACAAAUAGAAGAGUUUGGGAUCUAAAAUGGCAUGCAUUGUCAGCUACUAGCUGGUAGGUAGUGGUUUUAAAAGUGAAAGUUUUGGGGAAGAAGAAAAUAUUUCAUUUUAAUAGAUGGUUUCCUCUCUAGAAAGGAUAAAUGUAAUUUGUCAUGCUUUUUUCUUCAUUUUUUUUCAAUCUCGUGAUGAUUCUCUCUGAAGUUCAACUGUUCUUUUUGUCUUUGAGUACAGCUGUGCUAGGGAUAACUGUCUUUAGCAUCCUCAGAGAUGGAAUGAAUACAUACGUGUGGCAGAAAGAGCAAACUAACCCUGCUAAAUCAUGAAAAAUAAAUACCAGAGGAGAAGUACAUUGUGAGUUUGAGCAAUUCAUGGCAUGAGGCUAAGGAUUUUGCCUUUUUGUCUCUAAAGGUAAAACACUUAUUGCUUUAAAAAUAACAGUUAAAAAGAAACAGAGUAAGCACAGUUCUUUAGCAUGAAGUUCUCAGAAAAUAAAAUACCAGGCAGGCAUUUGAUUGAACGCCCGAAUGAAGACUUGCUACUAAUGGAUUUAUCUUGUGAUCGCUUAAUUUCUCAAUGUGUGGCAGUGUCAACUUGUGUUUUGUUAGAUAUCACAGAAUGCAAAAAAGCUGUGUACCACCAGUGACCCAUGAUGAAGGCAAGUUUCUCUUGAAAUUUAUACCUCACUGCUCGGAUGAGAAGAUGACACGAGAGAGAUGCUGGUACAAAGCUGCUGAAAGCAAAGCAAAGGGCCACUUGGGAGUUGCUUUCGUGGGGCACAAAGGUUGUCACAUUUGAUCCAUCCAUCACAUGGAAUUUAUAUAAGGAUAUUGCUUGAGUGAUGCACUUCACCUUCCUCAAAGAAUGGGGGAAAGAAGUCGAAGUCAGAAGAUUUUGACAUUCACUGGUUUACACCACCGUGUAAAGCCUGUAUGUCACAAUUACCUCUGCUUCUCAUCCUGCUCCAAAAGGCCCUUUCCUAAGCUCUGUGAACCUAAAACAUCAGGGAGGGGAGCUGAUGGAAUUGCUGUCGGAGUACUGGAAAAGGACAGGCAAGCAGCUGGAAUGGAACAACAGCAGGAUCAAAGAGAAAAGUGUUGGAAACUCAGAGCUGUCAGCAGAAGCAAACAGUGAGUACAAACUAAGAAUCACGGGAAAAACUCACACAUGGUACAUCUAGGCUACAGCUGUUUGUCUGCAGUUAAGGAAAAUGGAGAGAGAAAGGAAAGGAAAAAACUUCUACCACUGCUCCAAGAGUGCAACUGUUGACAGCCAGCCUGGGCUCAAGAAGCAAAGAGCAUCAAGCCCACCGUGAUUACAACUCCACAAAAUGAACAAUGAGGGCACAGGAGAGCUGAUUUCUCCAUGGAAAGCAGGUGACCAGAUACUAGGAAGAGGUACAUUGAAAAUAAAUGUUUGAAUGUCUUUUGUUCAAAAAUGUUUUAUAGUAGCAACCUGCUUGGCUGUGGGGCUGUGGUUAUCUCUGUAGCUGUUGUUUUGAUAGACAAGCAGUUUCAUCUCUGACCCAAAGGAUGCUGUGGUUUACUUUACUGCACUUUACUUUUCCAAGCAUGUGUGUGCACAGAUCCCUUUGGGGGAGUCGCUGCAGACUGUCCCUGCAUUAAUCAUAAUCAUCAGUAGCUCAUCAACAUUGUAUGUGUCUUUCCUUCUGCUCAGGCUGUUCAAGAGAAGCAGCAGGCAGAGGUGGCUGCUUCUCCCAGCCUGAAUACUGACCUGCUGCGUUGCCUCUGGUACAGUAAUUCCUCAAAAAAGGGGAUGAGAAAGACCAUCGUGUUUUCCUUCUAGUUGAAGUACUUACACUAAUUGCUUAUUGCUGUUCCUUUACAACAAACACUGCUGUACAAAUUUUCAUUGAGAUAAAGGUUUGCCUGGUAGAAUUUGUUGGUGUGAAUUCCAUUUUAAGCACCUAAUUAAUUGACCACGUAAAUGUUAAGGUUUCCUUAGGUGGUAGAUUCCAUCUAUGAAUAUUCUUGAAAGAAUGUGAAUUAUGCCCAUGCUACUUCAUAAAUAAACAACAAAAGAAGGUUACGUAGUUGUUCAUCUUUGCUGCCCAUGAAUACGAAAUGAGUGGUGAGGCAUUGAUUAGCUGCCUUUUGGAAGUAGUCCCUAGAACAAUGCCUUCUAUUUCCCAGUAAAGGAACACCUUCAGGGACAGCUGUGCAAUAAAACCUGAGUGGCUGAAUGUGUUACACAGUUUCCAGCAUGCAUGACUGAAGAACAUUCUCCCGCCACAUCUGCUGUACAUCCUUCAAGUUGUGUCACGGUGUCACUCUAACUGUAAUAUCAUUAACAUGAAAAACAAAAGCUGUCACGUACUUAGGGCGAUACCAACCACAUCACAGCAACAACAGAGGGAGCGCGGUUCAUGUUAGGUGAGAGUGGAUCAAGUCUUUCAUCAUCAAUUACAUUCAACCACACAGUGCAGUUCAGCACAGACUUUGAUGAAGGCUUCUCUGUUCUGAGGUAUUUUCUCUGUAUUUCACAGCACUUGCUGGCAGCAUUAAUUAGCAUUUUUAGAUUGUCUGAAAUGUUUUCUCCCAUUCAAAAUUAGUCAGUCCUGCUGGUCAGAAAGCUGGUGUUUGCUCUUAAAUUCCUUCAAUAUAAUCAAAGUCAGUGAGAAGGAAACCUCCAUGGUCUGCUGAGUUUUUCAUGCAUCUUUUAAAGAUUCCUUAAGUGCUGGGUAGAAGCUUAAAAGCCUUUUUUUUUUUUUUUUAAGUGUGGAGACAUGUUAACAACAGAACCUUCUUACAUUGUCUCUCUGCCAUAUGACCUCGCUGCAUGCACUUACCUGUUUCUUGAGCAUAUCUGCUUAAAACAUUGGAAAACAGAACAAAACUGUACUGAAUUUGGGCCCACAAGGAGUCAGGCAUUUGCACUGAUAAGUUGUAGCCAUGACGUACAAGAAAGUAAGACAUGUUAUCCUGCUUAAGCCAAUGUUAGAAAGAGCACAAGCUGAAUCCCAGUUUCUGACCCCAGAUUCUCUCUUCCUGCUCCAAUAUUAUACCAUGCAAAAUUUAAAUUAAUUAAUUAGUUAAUCUGGAGUAAAUUUAGCUUAGUGAUGCCAUCCUUUUUGCUCAUGUGUUGACUUUGAGAGAGAGGUGCAACUGGAAAUUAAACUUUGUCUUCAAUGUGCUGUUCAGGAGUGGGACCUUAUGCUAUAUGGGGCUGACAAACAGCUGUAAGUGCCAGAGUUCUAGAGCAGCCUUCACAUACUUCAGGGUAAGCAUUGUAACCAGCAUGUCUGCACUGGGACCAGAAUCACCAUUGCUGGAUUAAAGAUACGUACAGAUAUUUAAGAGAAUUCUGCACUGGUGACUGACCCUUCUGUGACCAAAGUUAGGCUGGAAGUAACUGCAAGUGAAAAUCUUACUUACAACUCUGUGCCAGUCUUGUUUGCUUUCACUGAAAUUAAUUGAAAAGGAGUAUGGUUUAUUGGGAGGGUAGAAUUAUGGUAAUAACAGCUAAACUUAGAACUUACCCUGGAACUUUGAAUGGGCUUGAAGACUUAAGCUACUGUUAGGCUAUUUUAACAUUAGAUAUUUAGGCUAAGCUGACUGCACUCUUUGGAAAAUUACUGUACAAACACUGGUGCUCUAAAAGACAGCGCACCCUACCAUAAUCAGGAUUCUGUCUUAGGAUGUUGUGGACUACCUCUUCAUUAAAUCAAGUGUGUGCCUUAGAUAAACCACUUGAUAAAGUGACUGCUCUUUACAGUGCUUUAUAGCACAGAAAAUGUGGGCAGUAUUCCCAGUCCUGUAUCUUAUUCUAACAGAAAGAAAACAUAAGAGAGAGAGUUUUAGUCUAACAUGCAAAACUUGGAAUUACUAAAUUAAUAUUGGGCAGACUGUCUGCUUGCUAUUUGGUUCUGAGUACUUAGGAUUUGAAAAUCAGUAUUACAGUGUACCUGCACCAGAACUGUGCACAAUCCAAAGAUCCCCACUGCUAGUAAGUUCUCCUGGAGCCAUAUUUUCACUGUUUCGUAGCAAGGCUGAAAUAAAACAGAAUACGGUAUUAGCCAUAAACACACUGCUGUACUCCCCUGGGAAUAUACAGACAGGAAAGAGCCAGAUCACACAAAGCUGCUGGGUACUUCAUCUUGGCACUACUGGAAUGAAUACAGUGCAUUUCUGAUUUAAAAGCUUGAGCACGGAGCACUGACUGUAAUGCCACCUCCAAAUCACUGCACAAGCCCUGUUCCAUACAAACUGGGCCAGUGCCUAAAGAUGAGCAAGCACUGGAUUCGGGGCACCUUUCCCCUCUAAAAUCCAACUAAAAGCAGUUAGAUUUUUAGAAUGAGCCUUUCAUUUGUUUUCCUCCAUGUUUCAGGAAAAGCUUAUCAUGUAAUGUAUGUAAUAAAAAAAAUAUAUGCACGUGCACACAUAUCUACAUACUAUAUGUACGUGUACAUAUAUAUGCAAUCAACAUUAUAUUAGACAUCUACCUAAAUAAAAGUUCCAGUGAGAGCUGUUCAGUAGCUUCUCCUGUUGCAUGUGGGCUGAUUUCUUACCAUUUUCCAUUAGAUUAAAUUGCAGUAUGAGCGUUCCUCUGUUAUUUUAUUCGUGCUUUGAAUUCUGCAACAGCUCCAACCUCAUGUUUUUGGCCUGGACUGGUGGGAUGAGAAUUGGCCUAAGUGAAACCUUUCUUAAAAUACUAUGCUCUUCUCUGUAAGAAAGAAGUUGUGCCCUGUGCCCUGUAAAUGUACCUGGGCAAGAGUGUUCUGCCUUCAGUUAGUGGCUUUCACGGCAUGCAUCAAGGAUUAAUGCCAACCUGAAACGUGAUUUCAGCCUUGUUAACCUGCAUUGAUCACCUUGGUACCCUGAAUAAAAUGCAGUAAGAACUUUCCAGUCCUAAAAUUGAGAAUUUGAUUUGGAGCCGUAUUUGGUUUCAACUCAGCCUCUACCACUGUCAAUCUGCAUGCAUGAAAUCCCACGAAGAACAGCCAAGACACUUUGUACUUCCUUUGCAAAGCACCGGAGCUAGCAAAACUUCAUUUCAUUUCCACUUCAUCAGCUGGCCUUGCCCCACACCCCAGGCUUACCUGCUCACCUUGCCUCAUGACUGCUUAGGCCACACAAAACUACUGCUAUGGCAGCACUCCUCCAGGUUUGUGUUAGAUGUGUGAGCAGCUAUUUGCCUUCAACUUAAUCCAGUAGGUAGAGUGGACAAAAACAUUCCUGUCAUUUUCAGCUUAAUCUAGCUAGGCUGUGCUCCUGAUCAGUGAAAGUAUUCAUCUGCAACAUGAAACAACAGCUCAGAAAGCCUUUAAAGCCUAGAAGUAUUUGAAUGGAUGGCUUCAUUGGAGGUGAAAAGUCACAGCUCAAAGUAAGCCUUCCCACUUAGAGAUGAUCUGGGUUACAUCACUACCUUAUCACCUGCAUCACUGCAACCAUCUGCCUGCCUGCCCUUUCUAUGGAGGCUGCUGAGCUAUUGGAGAGCCACUCACUGCUUUCCACCAGGUCCCUGGGGAAUGGAGUCCACAGUUCUCGCUGAAUUCCAGGCAGCAGGAAUCUGGCACCCGGGUUGUGUUGUACACCUCAAACCAGUCGGUGUAGUUUGAGACUCCACAGCAUCUGAACUGGAAGAAGAACCAAGGCAAUACUGUAAGGAUGAUUUGUCACUGGUGACUGCUUGUUCUGAGGCAGUGGAAGAAUCUUCCAUGCCUCUUGUUGGAUACAAACUGGACCUUAUUCAUUGCACUGAAUUACACUUGAUGACACCAGAAGGGGCUUGACAUUUUAAAGAAAUGUAGUAUUUCCUCAGCUUUACCAACAGAGACUAAUGUGGCUAAUGUGGAGACCAGACACAAAGGCCUUAUUUGCAGUGGCAGGACGCUGCAGGAGCUGCCAGCCACGUAACGAGUUUAAGAGUGACUGCACGGAAUUGUGAUGAUCAUUUUUAUUUUGCUGACAGGAAAAAAUAUUUGGGACACAGAUACAGUAUCCAGGAGGUAAAGAAAGUGUGAUCUAUACUGCAUACUAUUUCUGAAAUCAUUAAGUUAACGAGGCAAACUUCUCUCUGUGCUGAUCAUCUCUGAAAGCCU